rnacentral:rRNA from 1 species
CCUACGGGUGGCAGCAGUGGGGAAUAUUGGGCAAUGGGCGUAAGUCUGAACCAGCAACGCCGCGUGAAGGAAGAAGGCUCUAUGGUUUGUAAACUUCUUUUAUAGGGGCAUAAAACGAGGCACGUGUGGAUUUUUGCGUGUACGCUAUGAAUAAGCAUCGGCUAACUCCGUGCCAGCAGCCGCGGUAAUACGGAGGAUGCGAGCGUUAUCCGGAUUUAUUGGGUUUAAAGGGUGCGUAGGUGGGUUGUUAAGUCAGUUGUGAAAGUUUGUGGCUCAACCAUAAGAUUGCAGUUGAAACUGGUAGUCUUGAGUGCGGGUGAGGCAGGCGGAAUUCGUGGUGUAGCGGUGAAAUGCAUAGAUAUCACGAAGAACCCCGAUUGCGAAGGCAGUCUACUAAACAGUAACUGACACUGAGGCACGAAAGCGUGGGGAUCAAACAGGAUUAGAUACCCGUGUAGUC